UGAGCUGCUGGGUAGGGCCCAUCCCUCGGUGUCCUUGGAGGUGGGGGUCUCUUGGUGCUGUGUUAGGGGUCCUGAGUUCAUGUUCGCUGCUCCUCGAGGAGAUCCGUCUCCAUCGCUCGUCCGGCUGCAUCCCUUCAUAAAUCUUCCCCAAAAAAACAUCAGCACCUUCUCAGGCUGCCAUCUGUUUAUUUGGUUGGACUUGGAACUUGCUGAAAUGUCUUUCGAUGGAUGAAGCAACGGAGAGUAGAAGAACAGAGCCUGGCAGGCUGCUUGAGCUGUGCCAGGGAACCACCAAGCUUCCUGGUACCCCGUGUUGGCUGAGAGGCAAUGAGGUUAAGGAAAGCAUAACUGCCAUCAGGAAUUCUUGUAAAGAAAAUCUCCUGGAUGGAAUCUGGAGAUCUGAAGACAUAUUUCUGCUCUCCUGGCCACCUAUGAACAGGAUGAUGGCGUUACAGCUGCCUGCGCAUCCUUGGGUGGAUCUUCAGUGUUCCUGAGCAGAUUUCACCUGUACUAUUGGUCAAGCAGCAGCAUCCUGCCAGCAGCAGCGUUUGCAUCACCUUCCCCAGUCUUUCUUAGGACCACUUCGGUUUGGAAAAGCAUAAAGAAGGAAGCAGGGCAGGGAGCAGAGCGCGGAGGAAAGAUCCCAC
rnacentral:lncRNA from 1 species